rnacentral:RNase_P_RNA from 1 species
ACGUCCGGGCUCCGCAGGGCAGGGUGGUGGGUAACGCCCACCCGGGGUGACCCGCGGGACAGUGCCACAGAAAACAGACCGCCCUCCCGGUCCGCCGGGAGGGUAAGGGUGAAACGGUGGUGUAAGAGACCACCAGCGCACCGGGUGACCGGUGCGGCUCGGUAAACCCCACCCGGAGCAAGACCAGACAGCAGGCGCUCGAGGACGGCCCGUCCGAGCCUGCGGGUAGGUCGCUGGAGGCGUGCGGCAACGUACGUCCUAGAUGGAUGACCGCCCAGGGGUGGCCGGUGACGGUCGCCCUGGACAGAACCCGGCGUACCGGCCGACUCAUCCG